AGGGCGGGAAGGGAGCUCCGGUUCUGCUUUUUUUUACUUAAAGUGCCCAUCUUGAGCCUUUAAAAGUUCCGGUAGAGGCGUCUUCCGUUCUCUUUGAAGCAACUGAUGACAGCGACCCUAACUUAAUAGUUCUCCGAGGCACUUUUAUUUGAUGUUAACACAAUUACUCGCCCGGGCAGGAGAGGCGAUCCAUUUUUACUUGGGUCCAAGGAUCAGAGAAUCAGUAGUUCUAUGAAGUGUGCAGUUAGAACUAGAUCUGGGGCGGGGAAGGGGGUGUGCAAACUCAAUUUCCAAAGAUAGUCCCGCAGGAGCCCAAUAAAUGGAGUCUUUUAGGAGGAGUGAUUCAACUGUCUCUGGCAGUGGCUCCCAUUUUUCCACUGUGUUCGAACCCCAAUUUGGUCUACUUCAAAAGUGUGAUUGAACACAGACCAGUGUUUACUCUUUGAGGGUGUAUGUUGCAGGAGGAUGAGUAGUAUGAUGAACCUGAAAUCUGGAACAAUGAGGGAAACUAGAUGUUAUUUAUCUUCAAGAAGAGAAGUCUCUGGAGGGUGAGCAUCACUUGGUUUCAAGUUCUUGAUGAACAGUCCUGUAAAAGGAGCAGAUUCUAUCAUUGAAGAUUCAAGGGGAUAGAUUCUCAGUUUACGGUCUGAAGACCUCUCUAAUGGCUGAUAGUGGAACAUGUUUCCUGCUGAAGUAGUUUGAGAGUAUCUAGCAAGUUAGCUAGCUGAACCUGAGGGUCUUGAGGAGUUUCUUACACAGAAUGGGAGGUGUUCUAGCUCUCUCUAUAGGUGCAGUGCAAAUAGACCAGUUGUGGUGGUCUUCAUCCAUAUAUUUUUUUAGCAUAUGAUAGUUAGUUCUUUUUUUUUUCUUUCUUUAUCUCUAAAUAUCUAGGUUAGAAAUGAAGUUUACAUGAAUAUUUUAAAUUUCCUUUUUUUAAAAAAAUCAUGCAGCUUUGGCAUCAGCGAAGGUCAGAAUUCCCAGAAACUUGAACAGAGGCUGCCCAAUUUCCAGUAACUGCUACUUUGGCUUAGAGGACUAACCCCAAAGAAGAAAGACUCCAGCAGCUCUUCCUUCUUCAAAAAUUCCUGCCUUUUCUGAUAAAGACAGCUUUGGGAAUGAGAUGUUGGCAGCUGCACUCCUAAAGGCCAAGUCCCGGGAGUUGGUGACAUUUGAGGAUGUAGCUGUGUACUUUAUCCGGAAGGAGUGGAAGCGUUUGGAACCUGCUCAGAGGGACCUCUAUAGGGAUGUGAUGCUGGAGAAUUAUGGAAAUGUCUUCUCACUGGAUGGUGAGAAUGAUCAAGAAAUUUCUGAAGAUACAGGAUCACAUGGGGUGCUGUUGGGAAGAUUCCAAAAGGGUAUUUCUCAGGGUCUUAAGUUUGAAGAAGCCUAUGAACAAGAAGUCGGUCUAAAGCGGCAGCUGGAGAACUCUGGAGAAAGACUGAAUAGGAAGAUAAAAGAUUUUGGUCAAGUGACAGCUGAGGAAAAGCUGACCCCCAUGAGAGAUAGAAGUGAGAAAUACAGUGAUUUUGGGAAUAGCUUUACUGUGAGUUCCAACCUUAUUUCACAUCAGAGACUUCCUAUGGGAGACAGACCCCAUAAGUGUGAUGAAUGUAGCAAGAGCUUUAAUCGCACUUCAGACCUUAUUCAACAUCAGAGAAUUCACACUGGGGAAAAACCCUAUGAAUGUAAUGAAUGUGGGAAGGCCUUCAGCCAGAGCUCACAUCUUACUCAGCAUCAGCGAAUUCACACUGGUGAGAAACCUUAUGAAUGUAAUGAUUGUGGGAAGACCUUUAGUUGUAGCUCUGCUCUUAUUCUACAUCGAAGGAUCCACACUGGGGAGAAACCUUAUGAAUGUAAUGAAUGUGGAAAAACCUUUAGUUGGAGUUCCACCCUUACUCAUCAUCAGAGAAUCCACACUGGAGAGAAACCCUAUGCUUGCAAUGAAUGUGGGAAGGCCUUCAGUAGGAGUUCUACCCUUAUUCAUCAUCAGAGAAUCCACACUGGAGAGAAACCUUAUGAAUGUAAUGAGUGUGGGAAGGCCUUUAGCCAGAGCUCACACCUCUAUCAGCACCAGAGAAUCCACACUGGAGAGAAGCCCUACGAAUGUAUGGAAUGUGGAGGAAAGUUUACUUAUAGUUCAGGCCUUAUUCAGCAUCAAAGAAUCCACACAGGGGAGAAUCCCUAUGAAUGUAGUGAAUGUGGGAAAGCCUUCAGGUAUAGCUCAGCUCUUGUUCGCCAUCAGAGAAUUCACACUGGAGAGAAGCCUUUGAAUGUAAUGGGUAUGAACAAAAGUUCUCCCAGAGUUACUGCUGAAUUAAAUAUCAAAGAGUCUACGUGAAAGAGAGCCCACACCUGUUUGCCUCACUUCUGAAUCUGAAGAGCUCCUGCCUUACUAUAUAAGUACAAACAGCUUAGGAUAUAUCCCUUCCAACUCAGACCUUUCAUUGUAGCAACUGGCACUUUGGGAAAAUUAGCCAGCAGUGAUUAGCAACCUAGUGAAUUUCCCCAGAAUGAUACCAGCCUUAAAAAAUUAUGAGGCAGGCAGCAGACGAAGUGCUGGGAGUAGAGGGAAGCUCUGGAACUAAUCACCCAUUUUGGAAGGGAGUUUGCACUAAACCAUUUUUCUUACACCAGAGGAGCCUUUCUUUCCAAGGUGAGCAUGGAAGCACAGUAGGAAAAAAAUUCCAAGGAUUCCUCUAGUUGGAGUUAACAGCACAGAAGGCAGUGGAAAGAACGUUCUGAGUCCUGUUAUUUGCUGGGGAGGAAAUGGAAGCUGUAUUUCAAAGCCACCGUUCCCAAUCCAGCUUUAAGCUUUGAUAAGGAAUGUGCUAUUUUGUUUCAUAAUUCUAUUAAUUAUGAAAAAUUGGCACUGAGAUAUGUAUUUUAUUGAGGGAAGGCAAAGACCCCUACAAAGGUAUUCUGUGAUAUCUGUAUCCUUUAGGGCCCCUGGAGCAGCUAGACCAAGUUUCUAACAGCAAUCUUAGCCAUAUUGUGAGAGGACCCUUUGCCCUUCCCUGUUGUAAUGUGACUGGGAAAUCCAACUAAUCAUUGAGUCUAGCCUGAGAGUAGACUGUCAAAAGCAGUUAGCAUUGGCCUCUGUAUCCUUUCUUCCUCCCUUUUUUUCUCACCACGCCUGUGAUGAACGUGAUUUAAUCCAAACCCCUAGUUUCUGAGGAUGCUUUUAAGGAGCUUAAGUAGCCCUGCCCUCUGUCACGUGUGACAUCUGGCCCCGGACCUCUCCUGACUCCACCUCUGACUCUUCAGCAGCCGAGGAUUAAUACACAUAAAGAGUAAAGUCCCAGAGAAGGAAGGCUCUGGCCUAAGCCUGGCAGCAGGGCUCUUUGCUGGGUUAGAAUGGAGCUCCCUGAGUUUUCCUGACUGAAGGGAUGAUCUUCCAUUAUGUUUUCCCAAUCCUACUCAUCCUGUAGUAUAAAUGAAGUGCACUAUUAAACAGAAUAGUUUUUCAGAAGGAGAGAUUGAGUGUGUUUUUGUCCAGGGGCCAAGUUUAUUUCAGUUAAAGCAGGAAACAGUGACUAUUAAUGGAAUCUUAAAAUUAACCUUAAAAUUUUUUUUUAUUGGCAACAUUUCUUUUAGUCACAAACAUGUGGCUUCCUUUUCCCUAAAGACUGCAUCGUAUUCCUCUAGAUACUGCCACAGACUCUGUCAGUCAUUUACACAGUCACUCUACAAAAUCAAUUUUGACCUCAACUACUCAGAGUAAAACCAGAGUUCACAGUUAAAGGGUACAGUCCCCCACAAGACUGCCCUUCAGACACCAGCCACAAGUUCAGGGGUUCCCAGGACACCCUUCCCAUGGCUGCCUCCAGAUUCAGGGGUUCUCAGUACCCACUCAGGUUUGAUGAUUUGCUAGAAUGACUCAUACAACCAGGAAAGCGCUAUACUUUUAUAGUCUUAAAGCAAAAAGACACAAAAAGAGCCAACCAAAGGGAAGAGACACAGGGUGAGAGGAGGUUCUAAACAGCUUCCUUGUCCUCUCCCCAUGGAGUCAGAACACAUCAACCUCUUGGCACAUCAGUGUACAAAGAACAUCAUCAGUCUUACCCAAGCUUUGGUGUCCAGAGUUUUUAUUGGGAUUUUCAUUAUGAGGGCAUGGUGGAUUGAAUCAUUGGCCACAUUAUGGAACUCAAAAUCUCCCCUUCCCCAGAGGUUGGGCUAAUACGUGACGGUGGGUCCUUCUGGUGUGGCUGACCCCCACCUUGGGCCAUCUCAUCAGCGUAAACUAUCACUGUGGUCCAGGAUUGUCCGUAAAUAAUAAACACUGCAGUUACUUGGGAAAUUCCAAGGGUUUAGAGGGUUCUCCCAGGAACCAGGGACAAAGGCCAAAUUCUUUGGGUAAGUUAAUUCUUCACUCCCUACACUCCUGUCUCUAUACCCAUUUUUGGGCUUUGUGAACUACAUGUCAUUCUGUGUAGUACAAUACUUCAGACCAACACCUAAAACUAGGAAGGUGUUACUGGGCAUGUGAUUGCUGACAGAGUACUUGGUUGUUGGGUAGCAACGGGCGUAUUUAGACUUCCUGAUUUGGUUGGUAGGAGGAUGUUACAGCCACGGAGAAGGCUAGGGUGAAAGUGUAAUGGAGAUGAGACAAGGUCUGGAACUCUGGCCUCUGACAUUGUGAUUGACCACCUAAUAUAUGUUUUAAUUUCUUAAAGCUAUAAUGAAGUCAGUCAUUUUGGCUUUUCAUCGACAUUCAGUACAUACUUGCAGAUUGACUUUCUCAAAGUGUGGACCAUGAACGGCCCAUGUUAGAAUCACUGGGCUGCUUAUUGGAGUCCCUGAGUGGUGCAGAUGGUUAACUGAAAGGUUGGUUUGAGUCCACCCAGAGCCACCUCGGAAGAAAGGCCUGGCAGACUGCUUCCCCAAAAUCAGCUAUUGAAAACCCACUGGAGAACAGUUAUGUGAUACACAUGGGGUCGCCAUGAGUCAGGAUCAACUCAGCGGCAAUUUUUUUAAUUUUUUUAGGCUGCUUAUAAGUAAUGCAGUUUUCUGAGCCCCAAACCAGACCUAGAAAAUAAUUUCUGGAGAUAGAGUCUAAGAAUUUACAUUGGGAAGGAAGAAAUAGGAUAGUUACAGAAAAUUUCUAUGAGGAGGUAAAGUUGAACUAGGUCUUAGAAGAUAAAGAGAUGGGGGUUCCUGGCAGGACAGUUUGAAUGGACCUGAGCAUGGCCGCUUAGGUGGAAGCUGAGGAAAAGACUACUAGACAGGUAAAACGUACAUGAUGAAUGUUCACUAAAUGUAGAGGAUCAUCCCCUUCUCUGCUCUGAUGCUUAAGUCAGUACUGGACAGACUGUGAAGCCUCCACUGAAAAGACAAAAUGCAGCCUGAGACUGAUCAGGUCCAUUGCAUGAAAAAUAAGAGGUUUCUUUUUGUUUUUUAAAUAACUUUGAAACUACUUCUAUGACAUUUUACUCACCUGAUUCUCCUAGCUGACCAUUCCCAUUUCCCAUAAUGAUUCCCCUUCUCUCAAUCUAUGCAUUGUUGCUCCGUCAUGGUGUCAAGUUUCUGUCUCCUCUUUCUAUACCAUUAUCAUUGGAACCCAUUUACUUCCAUGGCUUCAGCUAUCACCUCUGUGCAAGUAAGUUAAAUCUGCAUUUGUGGUACAGAUCUUUCCCAAGCUCCAAUCUUGAGUCUCCAGCAGACUGCAUUUACAGUUAGACUUUAAAAUUAUGUGUUUAAAAUCAGAUUCAUCUCUCCCAUAAGCUGUCUCCCUCUCAAAAUUUCUACAAACCUCUCAGGCUCAAAACUUAAGUUUUCUUUGUUGUCAUCCUCCUACAUUUAACCAUCCAUCAGGUUCUGGGCAGGAUCAGUAAACGUAGUGGAAUGACAAGAGAUGGUUGUCAGAGGGGAAGUUUUCAGAGUUUGACGUUAUGGGGGAGGUGGGAGGUCCCAGUGUAGAUACUAAUUAAUAGUAGGUAACAUGUCAUAUGCUAUGUGCUAGCCUUGCCAGGCCCUGUUCCAAUUUGCUCAUAACAAUCUACCUAUAAAGUGUUGGUAUUAUCCCCGUUUUAGAGAUGAGGAAACAGCAUUGAACUUGCCCAAAGGAUUUGACAAUGGAAGACCUCCCCAGGAUGCUGCACUUGGUGGAAGGCUGCAUGAUGUAGCCUUCAGGUGGAGAUGGGGAGGUGACAGAAGUAUCAAUAAUGGAGUGGCGGCAGUGAAGAGAACCUAUCGAUGAAUUGUUUCUUCUUAAUGAAAAGAUUGUUUUUAAAAGCUCCCCAAAGAUAUAUUAUUUUCUUCAUAAAUUGUUUAUAAAGAGUUUAAAUUUUUUAUACUUCAAACAAAUUAAGGCAAGCCUGUCAGGUGCAUCACUUUAAAUAUGUCUGUAAUGAAGAACUGAAGAUUUGGAAAUGAGUAAGAAACUACAUGGAUGAUUUUCUACAUACAGAGAUAAAUAUGGCCAUCAGAAUGGUUGUUUCAGGAAUGACAGAAAGUCUUGCUGUCUUCCUCCAUAAGCAUGUUUUUCCAUUUAUGUUCCCUGCUUUGGUUGCUGACAUCACCAACUUCCCAGGCAGCCAAGCCAGAAACCUGGGAAUUGUUCUGGAUGCCUUGUUUCUCUUCAACUUCUCACUCCUAUAGCUUUUCAAUGUCUCUAACCUGUCCUUUCUUCCCCAUCCCUGUGACUACUGCAAUGGCCUAGGCCAUCUUUAAGUCUUUCCUGGACUUUGGAACCAGCCUCACAGUAGUCUCUUAGCUUCCAAUUCCUUUACCCUCCAAUUCAGCCUUCAAACCUAUGCAUGAAUUCUCUCUCUAAAAUGCCAAUUGGAUUACCAAAAAUAACCCAUUGCCGUCAAGUCCAUUCCAACUGAUAGUGACCCUAUAGAACAGAGUAGAGCUGCCCCAUAGGGUUUCCAAGGAAUGGCUGGUAAUUCAAACUGCCAAACGUCUGGUUAGCAGCCAAACUCUUAAUCACUGCGCCACAAGGGCUCCAAUUGGAUUACACCACCUCUCAAAACCUUUUAGUGACUCCUCAUCUCCUAGUCCAAAUUCUAUAUCAUGACACACAGGGCUUUUCAUUUACCUCUUAGCACUCCUCUUACCCCGACUCUCACCCUUUUUCCCUCCCAAAUACUUUAUACUGGAGCAAUGCAAAACUACUACAGUCACAUGGACAUCAAUGCUGUUUAAUGUCUCUGUGCCCUUGCAAAUGCAGUUCCUGAAUGCCCUCCCAUCCUUGUCCACCUAGCAAACUCCUGUUCAUCUCUGAAACCUCAUCAUCAGCUUCACCUUCUCUGUGAAGCCUUUUCAGGUCAUUGUGCAUGCCACCCUCCAUCCCCACCAAGUUAAUUUUCUCCGAGCUGCCUCUGCAUCUUGCAGAUACGCUCAUUAUUGUGCUUAUCCCCCCAUCCAUUACUUACUAUUUGUUUAUACAUCUGACUCCCUCACUAUGGUGUUUUUUCAUUUUUACGUUCCUAUACUUUUCUACCACAAAUAUGUGUUGCUUUCAUAAUCAGAAAAAAAAUCAUUAAGAAAACAAAGGUAAUACGAAGUAACAUCCAUUGAGCACUUUCUGUGUCAGGCAUUAUUCUAAGUGCUUUAUCAAUUCCAUAUUGUUGCCCCUUUGUCCAGGAAAGAAGAAAGGAAGGGGGAAUGGGGAGGGGAGUUUACAAGGUGCACAGUAAAUGGUGGCAGUGAAGUUAAAUGAGUUUGGAGUCUAAAGCCCUAGUUUUGUCUACCAUACCACAUUACCAGAGGGUAUCCCAAACUCCUUCAGACACAUCCUCUCCUCUCACUGAUUCUUUAAUGUCUUCAGCAGCAAUUCAGCAAGUAAAUAAAUGCUUGUACUGUAGGAGAUACAAAGAUGGAUGAACUAUGGUUCCUGCACUGAAGGAAACUCCAGUCUAAAGAGAGACAAAGCCAGUAUUGAUAAUACAAGACAAUGAGAUGCCAGGAAAGGUACAACAAUCAUAAUGAUAGCUGAUGUUCACAGACUGCUUACCUAUGUGCCAGGCAGUGUUCUAAGUACUAUAUACGCAUUAACUUGUUUUUACAACAAUCACAUAUGGUAAGUGUUCAUACUAUUACUAACCCUGUUUUAUAGGUGAAAAAACUGAGUCACAGAGAGGUUAAGUAACUUGCCCAAUGUUACAGAGCUAGUAAGUAGUAGAACAGGGAUUCAGACCUACGCAGUCUGGUUCCAGAGUUUGAACUCUUCAUCACUCCACUGUACUGCCUUUCUACAAAUACAAUGGAGGAAUUAAGAAGAAAGCAAGCUUAUGUUCUUCUUGGGAGGGGCAAGGCACACGGUGAUCACAAAAGGCUUUAUUGAGGAAAUCACGUUAAAGCUAAAUUAAGAACAUGGAUAGGUAGAAUACAAAGUCAUGGGUGGGAAUCUUCCUCUGGACUGACAAAAGAUAGGUGCAGAAAUAGGUAUUCAGUUUCACUCAGGAAAAUAAAUAUGAAAUACAUAUUAGAUGCCAGACAUUGUGUCAGGGAAAGGCAGGCAAUGGCUAAAAGCAGGUGAGGGAAAGAAGAGCAGAUCUUGGAGGGCGGUGAAUGUCUUUGUGAGUCUUCUAGGAGCUGAGGUGAAAGCUUUCAAGCCAUGAAUAAAAAGGAAACCUGUGUGUAAGACAUGUUAGCAACAGAAAACCCAGCGAAGGAUCUAUUGUGGGUGAGUUAUGAAGCCAUAAGGGACUAGACCAGGGUGAAGGCAGUGAGAAUGGAGAAGAAAGAAUGAAUCCAGGAGACUUCAGGGAAUUGAAAUUGCCUCUGAAUCAAGAGAAGCAUCAACAGAUGAAUAAGGAGGAGGACCUGGCGACAAUUCCAUUGUGAGUGGGUGACUCCCUUCUGUUCUUACAGUUUCUAUCCAAACUGUGACGUAUAAUAAGGAUAUGCAAGAUGGCAAAUAAUCAGUACCCUAGUUUGGAUGAGGUAGAGUAAUUAGAAUAUAAUUUAAGAUAUUAUCCAUCAACUUUUAUAAAUGAUUAAUAGUUUGGCUGCUGUAACAGAGACCCAAAAUAACACUGACUUAAACUUUAAGACAGAAGUGUAUUUUUCUUUCAGGUAAGUGUAUUUCUCAAUCUUGAGGAAAAUAGUUCAGGAUUGAUAUGGUGGUUCUGUGCCAUGAGCAUCGUGCCAGGGACCUUCCGUCUUAUUGACCACCAUUCCUAUGGUGUUGCCUUGUCCACAUGGUCCAAGAUAGUUUAUUCCCAUAUCCACAGUCCAUACAACAGGAUUGAGAAAGCAAGGAAGAAGGGUAUGUUCCCUCCCUCUUUAAGGGCACAAUGCAGAAAUUACAACUAUCACUCACCAUUGUCCAGAACUUAGUCACAUGACCAUCCUACUUACAAGGGAGCCUGGGGAAUAGUCUUCAUUCUGGGCCAAGAUCAAGGACUCGUAUGCUAUGUGAGAGAAAGGGAAGAAUGGAUAUUACAGGAAAAUGAGCAGCCUCUGCCACAUAGGCUGGAGCUUUUCUCAGGAUGAACCCUAGGUAUCUGUGCUGCUCAGAUCUGACAACACUGGUGUAUGAAGUUGUGAAUUCAGUUCACUCAGUACUUAGCAUUUACUGGGUGCCAGGCUCAGUGCAAGACUUAGGAAUCAAUUAUGAAUCAGAUGUAGUCCCUGCCAUCCAGGAGCAUAUGCUGUAGUAGGGGAGAGUUUCAUAAACACAAGUUUUCAAUGAUGGUAGGAAGUAUAAUAAGGAUAUGCAAACAGAGAGACACCUAACCCAGCUUAGGAGUUUAGGGAGUAGAUCAGAGCUUGUCUUAGCCUGUAUUCUCUACGGAAGCAAAACCAGUGAAGUGUGUGUGUGUGUGUAUAUAUAUAUAGAGAGAGAGAGAAAGAGAGAGAGAUUGAUUUAUGUCAAGGAAAUGGC